GCGUCACUUCCCGGUCCGGGCUCCGGCUGCAGUUUCCGACAGGUGGAAGGUGCUGCCCGAACCUGGCCUCUCAGACUUUUAAAAGCAGGUCUAAUUGGAGCUCCUCUCCAGCUCCCCGCCGACAGGAGCUGAGGAAAUCCAAUUCGUCUGCGGUGGCCGUGGGAGUCGUGGUCGCUCACGACUCGGAUCUGCCAGUAGUUCGCUGCAUGCAGGUCCCUGCAGGUCCGCUUUCCGAGUUGAGAACAGGCGGAAUUGUGCCUCCAGUAGCUCAACAGCUUCACAGAGAAAAUAUUGAGCGAAUAGUAGAAGAAGCCCUUUCUGCCAGCAGAGUCUCGCCACGUGACCUCUCAGCCAUCGCAACCACCGUCAAACCAGGACUGGCUCUAAGCCUGGGCGUCGGCUUAGCAUUCAGCUUACAGCUCGUGAACCAGUUUAAAAAACCGUUCAUUCCCAUCCACCAUAUGGAGGCUCAUGCGCUUACCAUCAGACUGACCAACAAAGUGGAAUUUCCUUUUCUAGUUCUUUUGAUUUCUGGAGGUCACUGCCUGUUGGCCUUAGUCCGCGGUGUUGCAGAUUUCCUGCUCCUUGGGAAGUCUUUGGACAUAGCACCGGGUGACAUGCUCGACAAGGUGGCAAGAAGACUUUCUUUAAUCAGUCGUCCAGAAUAUUCUACGAUGAGUGGUGGGAAGGCUAUGGAACAUUUGGCCAAAGAAGGAAAUAGAUUCCAUUUUACCCUCAGUCCUCCCAUGCAGAAUGCUAAGAACUGCAAUUUUUCUUUUACGGGACUUCAGCAUGUUAUCGAUAAGCUCAUCAAAAGGAAGGAAAAGGAAGAAGGCAUCGAGAAGGGGCAAAUCCUGUCUUCCGCCGCAGACAUUGCCGCCGCGGUGCAGCACGUGACCGCAUGCCACCUUGCCACGAGAACGCACCGCGCUCUUCUGUUUUGCAAGCAGAGAGCGUUGUUACUGCCAGCGAACGCAGUAUUAGUUGUGUCUGGAGGUGUUGCAAGUAACUUGUAUAUCCGAAGAGCGCUGGAAAUGGUAGCAAAUGCAACACAAUGCACUUUGCUGUGCCCUCCUCCAAGACUGUGCACUGAUAACGGCGUUAUGAUUGCGUGGAAUGGGAUUGAAAGGUUACGUGCCGGCUUGGGGAUUUUACAUGAUGUAGAAGACUUCCGGUAUGAACCAAAAUGUCCUCUGGGAGUAGACAUAUCCGAAGAAGUCGCAGAAGCUGCCAUAAAAGUCCCACAAUUAAAAAUGACGAUUUGAUUUGUGAUUUUUAAAGGUCUUUCCAGCUCACAAGUGUCCAUAACUCCAGUUCCCGUGGAUUCAGCAUCCUUUUCUGACCUCCUAGGGCACCAAGCAUGCUUGUGGAACACAAACAUAAAUGCAAGCCAAACACUCAUACACAUAAAAUUUUUAAAAACAAUAAUAAAUCUUAAUUUUUUUAAAGGACCAAUGUUACUAUGUCCAUUGAUUUGGCCACUAACCAAUGUUACUAUGUCCAUUGAUUUUGCCCUCUAUACUGGAUCAAGUUGUUAAUUUUGUGAACUUUCUAAUCUUUAUUGACAUGUAUUAUUGACAAGGUAAAGAUAAAAAUUUAGCAUAGAAAACCCUUUUUGUCAGGUAACUCACUUUAUAACAUUCCAACAUAAGAAUUACAGACAUGUACAACCAUUCUUAACUAGAAUGAAAAAGUAACUUAUCUUAGUCCUAAUUUAAGGUAGCUUCUCAGAAAGUUCCAGAAGUAAUUCUUUUAUUUAAUUAAGAUCACCUGUUUUCUCCUAGAAAUGAAGCAUCUGGAAAUAGCCAUUACUUAAAAUAGCUUCUUAUUCUUUGUUGUUAGAUUGCUGUUAUAGAUAGGAUUGGUAAAAAAGUAACAAAAGCAACAACUAGUUCAGAAAUUCACAUUUGAUAUUUGGAUUUGUGUUUUGUAUAUGUGAUUAUGAAUUAACAAACUUUCUGUGACGACUACUGUAAGUUCAUAUAAAUUAUUGAGGAAAAUUUACCAAAAUUUAUAUUAUGAAUAUAUUUAUAAUCUGUGUUUUGAAAAUGUUAAAAGUUGUUCCAGGUGUUAUAAUCACAACUAUAUAUUAAAUUACUUCAUAAUACAAAUAAGGAGAAAAUAUAGCUAACAGAAAUUAAUGAAUCCUGGAUAGAGCCAUGUCUUUUAAUCCUUUGAGUACUUGCUACGAGGAAUGGAAAGGAAGGGAGGGAAAGGAGGUUGGAAUCAGGGAGUAACACUGAACUCUUCAUCAACACAUGCCAAAUUUACCUUACUGUGAAACUAAGGGUUGGGCAGGUCACUGAGACCAAUGUCUCACUCACUAGGACUCACUGUUGCUCGCUCACACUGGUCCUGAACUCUUAGCAAACCUCCUGUAUGAACAUCCCAAGUCCUUGAUUACAGAUCUGGGUGGCGGAAAACGAAUGAAUGGUUGCCACCUACAGUUGGCGCCCAACAUGGGGCACAAACCCACGAUCCUGAGUAGGGGAAAUGAGUGAGUAGUCUCUCUUUACAGAAGUGGACAUGAACUCACAUUCCCUAACCAACAAACUGUCUCCAACUGAUAAUCCACUUGCAAAGGAAAGAUGAUUUUUCUCCAGUGGAAUCUACCUGGCUAUGUUAACCACACUUGGAGAUAGGCUCUAUGCCCAUCUAUGUAAAUGGCCAACACAGAGUGAACUCAGUGGCAUUUUUGUAGACUUUUUGUCUCACAUUGCUUUGUUUGGGCAUUUUUGUUUGUUUUACUGGUCUUUUGCCUUUAUAAGGUGGUUCUAAUUUCAUGUUUGUAUGGGGUUUGUGUGUGUGUGUGUGUGUGUGUGUGUGUCUUUUAUGUUUUUCUUUUUUAAGUUCUAGUUUAUUUGGAGUGUUUGUCAUUUGCCUAUUUGUUCUCUAAAGAGAAAAAGAAAGGGUGUGGAGGUGUCUGGGCAGGGAAGAUCUGAGAGGAGUGUGGAGAACAGAAACCACUAGACUAUUUUAUUAAAAUUUAUUUCAACAAAAUAAUUUUUUUUAAAAGUUGGCAGUGAUUCUUCAGGAGAAAUACUGUUGUUGGGAUAAUCUGGUUAAGCUAGUUCCUCAGAAAGUGUCUGUGGUUGUCUACAAAAUAUCUUUAGCCCACCUGAAGCUACCUCAAGGCUUGGUUGUUCAUGAUCAGAGGCUGAAUAAUAACUUCAAGAGUUACCCUUAAUAACACUGAGAGAAUGAGACUUGUCUUAUCAUUUGAUUCACUUCUUCUCUUUUUUUUGGGGGGGGAGUGUUUUAUUUUGUUAUUUGUUUCUUUUUCAAGACAGGAUUUCUUCGUGUAGCUUUGGCUGACCUGGAACUCACUCUGUCUGGUUUUUGGCUUUUCAAGACAGGUUUUCUCAGUGUAACAACCCUAACUCUCCUAGAACGAGCUCUUGUAGACCAGGCUGGCCUCGAACUCACAGAGAUCCGCCUGCCUCUGCCUCUCAAGUGCUGGGAUUAAAGGUGUGCGCCACCACCACCCGGCUGAUUCACUUCUUUCUAAUAUUAAACAUACAUUUCCCUCUACAUUUCCUAUAUUAUAAUCCAUCAGAAAAUAGCAGCUCAGAGCAGUUGAUAGAGCAGAAUUUAAAUACUUAAGAACACUUUGUUUUGCAGUGAUUAAGCACACAGAGGGGCUCUGGGAAAGCUCCCACCAUCAUGACCAUUACUAUGGUAACUAUUUGUUGAUAUUCAUGGUCCAUGCUUGCUGCAGCUCUGGUAGACAGGGAAUUACAGGAAGGCCUUCAGAGUAUAUGGAGGCCGAGUGAGUAGAGAAAGGGGGAGGAGAAGUGGAAGUACCGAGUGAAGUCUUGUUUGCAUUUGUCAUACCUGUCUUCUGCUGUAAACUAAAGGAUCAACACCAAGGCUUGCACCUAUUAAUGUGGGACCUUUGAGCAGAGACGUCACAGAGUUCUCAGCCAAAAAAGUGUCCUCUCCAGGUGCGGAGUCUAGGCACUUUCUGUUGAUAAUGGGACAGCUGCAGUGGCCACACAUCUAGUUAUGUGCCUGAUGGGCAGUGAUUCCGAUGUCAGGUUGAGUGUUUCCAUCUUCUACAUUUCAGGUUACAUAAAGCUCACACUUUGGUAAUGCUUAUUGUUUAACAGCUCAAGUGUUGUGAUAGUAUGAGCAGGCGGACUCUUUAACUCGGCAUACCAACCCCAAAAUGUUUUUAAGUCUUGAGACAUAGAGAUAUAUAGAUACACAUAUGUACACGUAUUGAAGAGGCCUAAUGACACAGGUGCAGCCAUGACAGGCUGCAAAUUAACAGUACUGAGACUGGGCCUCACCAUUACAAUAACCAGGAAAAGUCACAGACAGUACCCUUCGGGAAAACAAUCAGAAUUGAGGCAAAGAAGGACUAGCUGCUUCAGAACAUAGAAUAGCUUACCAAACUUGUUAUAUAGGUUGUCGGUUUCCUUGCAGCAAAGCUGGUACCAAUCCCUGCUUGACAAGACUUCUCUUACCUCACUCCUGCCCAAUCAGGAGUUCAACCCCCCGUCUGAAUCCAGAAUUCCCCUAACCGCUCCCCAUCCUUUUCUCCUUCAAAACCCUGCCAUAGCUGAGCUCAACGCUCUCCCUGACCCAACCACCGUGCCAGAAUGGACGGAUAGACAGACAGACAGAUAAACGGAGAUCCCAAACUCAAGCCUGCAGUAAAGGCUCUUUGCUUUUGCAUACAAACUCGGCCUCAUGGUGGUCCCUUGUGGUGAGGGGACUCAUGACGUGGGCACAACAAUAUACAAAUAUAUUAUCUGGUCGUGACAGUUGCUAAAUCUUGUAGGUGUGAGUGGAGGCAUCGCCUACAGAAAUUCUACUUAGUUUUUUGAAGCAGUAACUAACCUGACGCUGAACUCCCUGAGAAACUGAAAAGAAGACCUGUUCAGUAUUAACAUAAAGACCUUCCAUUCAAACAGCACUGACGUCAUCCCCCGAAAGACGACUCAAGAAUCAUUUCCUGUUCAAAUGCUUUUUUUUUU